rnacentral:rRNA from 1 species
UACGUAGGGUGCGAGCGUUGUCCGGAAUUAUUGGGCGUAAAGAGCACGUAGGCGGUGUGUCGCGUCGGCCGUGAAAACCUGGGGCUUAACUCUGGGCGUGCGGUCGAUACGGGCAUCACUAGAGUUCGGCAGGGGAGACUGGAAUUCCUGGUGUAGCGGUGAAAUGCGCAGAUAUCAGGAGGAACACCGGUGGCGAAGGCGGGUCUCUGGGCCGAUACUGACGCUGAGGAGCGAAAGCAUGGGUAGCGAACAGG